UACGGAGGAUGCAAGCGUUAUCCGGAAUUAUUGGGCGUAAAGCGUCCGCAGGUGGCAGUUCAAGUCUGCUGUCAAAGACCGGGGCUUAACUUCGGAAAGGCAGUGGAAACUGAACAGCUAGAGUAUGGUAGGGGCAGAGGGAAUUCCAGGUGUAGCGGUGAAAUGCGUAGAUAUCUGGAGGAACACCGGUGGCGAAGGCGGCAUUCUGGACUGCAACUGACACUGAAGAACGAAAGCCAGGGGAGCAAACGGG
rnacentral:rRNA from 1 species